rnacentral:rRNA from 1 species
AUUGAACGCUGGCGGCAUGCUUUACACAUGCAAGUCGAACGGUAACAGGCCGCAAGGUGCUGACGAGUGGCGAACGGGUGAGUAAUGCAUCGGAACGUGCCCAGUCGUGGGGGAUAACGCAGCGAAAGCUGUGCUAAUACCGCAUACGAUCUAUGGAUGAAAGCGGGGGACCGUAAGGCCUCGCGCGAUUGGAGCGGCCGAUGUCAGAUUAGGUAGUUGGGGGGGUAAAGGCUCACCAAGCCAACGAUCUGUAGCCGGUCUGAUAGGACGACCAGCCACACUGGGACUGAGACACGGCCCAGACUCCUACGGGAGGCAGUAGUGGGGAAUUUUGUACAAUGGGCGCAAGCCUGAUCCCGCAAUGCUGCGUGCAGGACGAAGGUGUUCGGGUUGUAAACUGCUUUUGUACGGAACGAAAAGGUUUGGGUUAAUACCCUGGGCCGAUGACGGUAACGUAAGAAUAAGCACCGGCUAACUACGUGCCAGCAGCCGCCGUAAGAC